GUGUAAAUUUAUUAUGAUGUUAUUUGCUUUUCUAAAUAAUAGGUAAUUGCUGAGAAGAAUUCUGCAAAUCGAAAAGAACAAAAAUACAAUCACACCUCUGGCACCAAGAGUUAUGCACGCAGUCGAGCAGAAUAUCUCAAGAAGCAUGGUCAUGAGCCCGAUCCUAUUCAGUUUUUUUAUGAUAAGCAUACACGGAAUGACAAAGAAAAAACCUGGAUUGAUGAAGUUGCUGAGCGGACACAUGCUGGUAUGCAAGAGAAGUUGGCAGAAAUUGUAGCAGUUGAAGGUAAUGAGACUACAGAGAUGCGAGAAAGAGCAUAUGUUGCAGUGAUGGGACCUGAGAAACGUCAUAGAGUUCGCGGUUAUGGACUAGGUGUAAUAGCUAAUAUGGUGCCUUAUCUUCAAAUUGAUGGUAGCUCAUCAUCACACAGAUCAUAUGGAAGACAUUAUGCUCACUUGUAGUCACAAUUUAUAGAGUUAGAGUCCAAGUACCAACAACAACAAGAGCAAGCACAGGUGCAACAAGUUCAAACUCAGGAAUAACUCUUGCAAACCCAACAAGAAUUGGCAAUGUUAAAGCAAAUGAUACAAUCCCAGCAAUCUACUCCACCUUCACAACAAUCUUCUCAGCCUUUGCAGCAACAAUCCUUCUAGAUGCCUUCUUAUCCUCCUCAAAUGUACUGGCCUCAACCGCAAAUCUAUCCUCAAAUGCCUUAUCAGCCUCAACAUGCUUAUCCUACCACUGGACUAACUGGAUUGCUUAUGGGAGAUACAAGUGUCCAAGAAACUGAUUUGUUGAACCAGCUUAGAGCUUCAUCGAA